rnacentral:rRNA from 1 species
GAGUUCUCCCUGAGACUUUAGGUCUCCUGAAGGAACGUUGAAGACGACGACGUUGAUAGGCCGGGUGUGUAAGCGCAGCGAUGCGUUGAGCUAACCGGUACUAAUGAACCGUGAGGCUUAACCUU